UGAACACUUUUGCUUCAAAUUCCUUUGCUCCAUAUAAUUAAGAUGGAUUAGAUUCGUCUUCUACUUGCAUUGAUACCUCAUUGUGUUGUCCAUGGACAAUUUAUUCCUCGCAUGGCUAGGCUAGUGGAGUUGCUCAUCGGAUAGUCUUCGUGAUCGGGGCCUCAAGUUUUGGAUUGAUGAUGGGCCUCCCCCUAGCUCAAGGAUUGUAUUCAAGAUGACUGUUCUGAUGAUUUGCAUUUGGUUUCUUGAUUUUUUUUUUUUUUGUCAUUUGUAUGUGUUGUACUCUUUCCUCUAUCAGAGUUUUGUCCUGCGUGGUGUUUUCGGAAAAUAGGUGCCGAGUGAACUAAUAAGAUAUUUUAAUUAAAAAAUAACAUAAGAGAAAAGUAAAAGUAAGAUGGCUGCUGCUAUAAGAGAGGAAGAGAGAUAAUUCUUAGGUUGAGG
rnacentral:lncRNA from 1 species